rnacentral:rRNA from 1 species
UGGGCAACCUGCCCCUAGCUCCGGAAUAACCCCGGGAAACCGAGGCUAAUACCGGAUACGACCCUGCGCGGCAUCUCGCGGGGUGGAAAGUUUUUCGGCUAGGGAUGGGCCCGCGGCCUAUCAGCUUGUUGGUGGGGUAAUGGCCUACCAAGGCGACAACGGGUAGCCGGCCUGAGAGGGUGACCGGCCACACUGGGACUGAGACACGGCCCAGACUCCUACGGGAG